rnacentral:rRNA from 1 species
UGACGUAGACCCGAAACCGGGCGACCUACCCAUGAGCAGGAUGAAGCGAAAGUAAAAUUUCGUGGAGGUCCGAACCCACGAGCGUUGAAAAGCUCGGGGAUGACUUGUGGGUAGCGGUGAAAUUCCAAUCGAGCCCGGAGAUAGCUGGUUCUCCCCGAAAUAGCUUUAGGGCUAGCCUCAAGGUGAGAGAUACGGAGGUAGAGCACUGAAUGUCCUAGGGGGUAUUGCACCUACCGAAGACUAUCAAACUCCGAAUGCCGUCAUCUUAUACUUGGGAGUCAGACUGUGGGUGAUAAGAUUCAUAGUCGAAAGGGCAACAGCCCAGAUCGUCAGCUAAGGUCCCUAAAUGUAAGUUAAGUGGUAAAGGAUGUGGGAUUGCACAGACAACCAGGAUGUUGGCUUAGAAGCAGCCACUCAUUCAAAGAGUGCGUAAUAGCUCACUGGUCGAGUGAUCCUGCGCCGAAGAUUUCCGGGGCUAAAACUUACUACCGAAGCUACGGCAUCAGUAAUGAUGGGUAGGGGAGCUUCCCAUACGGGUUGAAGCAUGACCGUAAGGACAUGUGGACAGUAUGGGAGUGAGAAUGUUGGCAUGAGUAGCGAGAUGUGGGUGAGAAUCCCACAGGCCGUAAACCCAAGGUUUCCAGGGGAAGGUUCGUCCGCCCUGGGUUAGUCGGGACCUAAGCUGAGGCCGAAAGGCGUAGGUGAUGGACAACAGGUUGAUAUUCCUGUACUACCGAUAACCGUUUGAGAGA